rnacentral:pre_miRNA from 1 species
GAAAUACUCCCUCCGUCUGGAAAUACUUGUCAUCAAAAUGAACAAAAAGAGAUGUAUCUAGAGGUAUUUUAGUUCUAGAUACAUCCUUUUUUAUUCAUUUUGAUGACAAGUAUUUUCGGACGGAGGGAGUACCUA